rnacentral:tRNA from 1 species
UUAACCAAAAGCACCCGGCCUACACCCGGAAGAUUUCAUACCAACUGACCACUUUGA